rnacentral:rRNA from 1 species
UACGUAGGGGGCGAGCGUUGUUCGGAUUUACUGGGCGUAAAGGGCGCGCAGGCGGCUCAUUUUGUCAGGCGUGAAAGCCCCGGGCUUAACCUGGGAACUGCGUUUGAUACGGAUGGGCUAGAGUUCGGGAGAGGAGAGUGGAAUUCCCAGUGUAGAGGUGAAAUUCGUAGAUAUUGGGAAGAACACCGGUGGCGAAGGCGGCUCUCUGGACCGAUACUGACGCUGAGGCGCGAAAGCGUGGGGAGCAAACAGG